GGCUGGUCUUGAACUCCUGACCUUAAGUGAUUUACCCGCCUCAGCCUCCCAAAGUGCUGGGAUUACAGGCGUGAGCCACCGCGCCCAGCCUACUUUUUUUUUUUUUUUUUUGAGACAGAGUCUCGUUCUGUCUCCCAGGCUGGAAUGCAGUGGCACAAUCUUGGCUCAAUGAAACCUCUGCCUCCUAGGUUCAAGCAAUUCUCCUGUCUUGGACUCCAGAGUAGCUGGGACUACAGGCACACACCACCACACCCAGCGAAUUUGUGUAUGUUUAGUGGAGAAGGGGUUUCACUACAUUGCCCAGGCUGGUCUGAAACUCCUGACCUCAAAUGAUCCACCGCCUUGGCCUCCCAAAGUUCUGGGAUUACAGGCGUGAGCCACUGUGCCUGGCCACACACCAGUAGUCCUACCUACUUGGGAGGCUGAGGUGGGAGGUCUGAUUGAGCCUAGGAUUUCAAGGCUGCAGUAAGCUAUGAUUGAGCCACUGCACAGCAGUCUGGGUGACAGAGUGAGACCCUGUCUCUAAAAAAAAUAAAAAUUAAAAAAAGCAUUAUCUUGUGACUGCUAAUGAAAUGGAUUCCAUGAUCAAAUAGAUGCUAAAAAUAUGUAAAAGGUUGAUGAGAAACUCUAAAAUAUAGAGAUCAGGCUGACAAUACCUGAACUCACUACAUAAUCUUUGCAUCACCCAAAAUGGAACAACUAGCCAUUAAGUGCUUCAGGAUACAACACAAUAGGAAGUACACUGCACCACCUACAAUGUAUUCUCAUCCAAAAAAUUGAACCUGGCUUUAAUCAAACCACUAGAUCUAACUCCCAGUUUAUAAGGAAUAUGGAUGCUAGAGGAAUGAGUUAAAUUAAACUGUGAGGAAGCUACUCGCCAAAUCCCAAAUGUGAGAUGUUCUAUAAAACAAAUGACCUGGUUUCUCCAACAAAUCAAUGGUGUGAAAGAAAUGUAUGGGGGUAGGGUGGGGGGAGCUGACAUAAAAUAAAAGUGACAAAAAGACAAAUGCAACUUAUUGAUCCUGAUGGAAUAAACCAUCUGUGAAAGGAUACCUUGGAGAUAACUGGAGAGAUCUAAAUACAGACUGAGAAUUAGGUGAUAUUAAGGAAUCACUGCUAACUUAGUUAGGUGUGACAAUGGUAGUCAUGUUUAAAAAAAGAAACAAAAAACCUUCAAUGGCUUCCCUUCUUAUCUAGAAUAAAAGCCUAGAAUGCAAAUUCUCACAGUGAUCUACCAGGCCCUAAGUGAUUCAGCCCCCUUCUACUGUUCUGGUUUUAUUUCAUUUCCUCUUUCUCUCUUCCUCAUUCACUCCAGUGAAGCCACAAGGAGAUUCUCACUGCUCCUGAAAGGUACAACACUUGCUCUUAACUCGGGACCUUAGACAUGCUUUUCCCUCUGCCAAGAUGCUCUUCCCCCAGAUAUCUGCACAGUCUAUUCCCUCGCCUUUUAGGUAUUUACUCGAAUGUCCUCUUUUCAAUGAGACCUCCCUUGUCCACCCUAUCUAAAACUGCAAUCCCCUCCCAUUCCUCAAGAAAAUUCCCUCUCCUCCUGUCCUGCUCUAUUUUUCUUCUGUCACCAUCUAACAUACAUUUGACUUACUUGUCUUUUUUUCUUUUUUUUUUUGAGAUGGAGUCUUUGUCACCCAGGCUGGAGUGCAGUGGUGGGAUCUUGGCUCACUGCAACUUCCACCUCACAGGUUCAAGCGAUUCUCCUGCCUCAGCCUCCCAAGUAGCUGAGCCAGAAGAAUCGUUUGAACCCAGGAGGCAGAGGUUGCAGUGAGCCAAAAUCGUGCCAUUGCGCUCCAGCCUGGGCAACAAGAGCGAAACUCCAUCUCAAAAAAAAAAAAAAAAAAGAAAGAAAACCAGAAGUUUGUGUGUGUACAGAGGCUGAACCAUACGAAAUAUCAUUUUUUUAAAAAAAUGUUUUAACCAGCCGGGUGCGGUGGCUCACACUUGUAAUCCCAGCACUUUGGGAGGCUGAUCACUUGAGCCCAGGAGCUCGAGACCAGCCUGGGCAACAUGGCGAAACCCUAUCUCUACUAAAAAUACCAAAACAAAUCAGCUGGGUGUGAUGGUGUGCGGCUGUAGUCCCAGCUAUUAAGGCAGGUGGGCUGAGAUGGGAGGAUCGCUUGAG
rnacentral:lncRNA from 10 species